AGCCCUUUAGGGCCGGGCACGUCUGCCUGGGUGUCACGCAUCGUUGCCCCCCCUCCCAAAGAUCUAACGAUUCUUUCGGSGUGGGUGGGCGGAAAUUGGCCUCCCGUGCGCUCGCCCGUGCGGUUGGCCCAAAUCUGAGUUCUCGGUGACGCUUUCCCGCGACAGUCGGUGGCGUUUGAAAAACAACCUAGUGAUCCUGUCGUGCGGUUGCGUUCUCCCGGCCACGAGCUCUUCGACCCUAGAGACCGGGCAAAAGCCCUCUCGCAUCGCGACCCCAGGUCAGGCGGGAUCACCCGCUGAGUUUAAGCAUAUCAAUAAGCGGAGGAAAAGAAACUUACCAGGAUUCCCUUAGUAACGGCGAGCGAACC
rnacentral:rRNA from 1 species